rfam:Brassica napus, WGS project CCCW01000000 data, contig: 3408
GGUCCUUAAGUGUAGGUUCCCUUAGCUUUUAACUAAAAACGCUAAGGAACGGCCCUUAAAUAAGGGACUUUAGAGAAGUCCCUUAGUAUUUUUAGUUAAAAGUUAAGGGACCCUACGCUUAAGGACC